CUGCCGGCCCGGCGGCCGCGCAGCGCGGGGCUGUGACCGGGCUGCGGGCUGGAGCCCCGGGAGCCGCCGGAGCCCUUCCCUCCCGGGACAUGGGCUGAGGAAGUAACUGGUGUGUUUUGGCACCAGCACCACUUGCAGGCUGUCAGCCCUUGGUAAGCAGAGCUGCAGCAUCCACCUCCAAACAGGCAGAGCCAUGGGAGAAGCUGUGCCUGCUGCCUCAAAGGAGCUGCAUCCCCUCUGAUGGACUGAGCUCCAGCCCUGGAAGGUGGCUCAGUCCCCUGCCCAUCUCCACGUGUGGCUUUUCUCUCCGAACUACAGGCACUGGCAGUGGGGGCUGAAGAGAGUGAUCCUCUCAGAGGCUGGAGCAGCAACAGUAUUCACUUGAUUCACUUCAAGUUUUUUUCCUAAGUCCAUGGAGACACCAAGUGAGUGUGAUGGGACAGAGACUGCCUUUCUACAGAGAAUUAAUCAAAAGCAAUGUUGAACAGAGAUGUUCAGUAUUUUUUUUCUCACUUC